AUUGAACGCUGGCGGCAGGCCUAACACAUGCAAGUCGAACGAGUGGCGGACGGGUGAGUAAUGUCUGGGAAACUGCCCGAUGGAGGGGGAUAACUACUGGAAACGGUCGCUAAUACCACAUACUCUCAGAUGUGCCCAUAUGGGAUUAGCUUGUUGGUGGGGUAACGGCUCACCAAGGCGACGAUCCCUAGCUGGUCUGAGAGGAUGACCAGCCACACUGGAAAUGAGACACGGACCAGAGUCCUACGGGAGGCAGCAGUGGGGAAUAUUGCACAAUGGGCGCAAGCCUGAUGCAGCCAUGCCGCGUGUAUGAAGAAGGCCUGCGGGUUGUAAAGUACUUUCAGCGGGGAGGCGUUACCCGCAGAAGAAGCACCGGCUAACUCCGUGCCAGCAGCCGCGGUAAUAC
rnacentral:rRNA from 1 species